AUAAUCCUAUCCAGCUACACCGAACCAACAGAACACUGCGACAGAAAAUAAACAGUUUGAGUUGGUGUAUUUUGGAACUAUGAAGCUACUGGAUUAUGUGACAGGUGACGCAAUGAAAUCACCUGCAGAUGCUUCUUGAUUUGAUCAUCAUGUCUUCUGUUCUCUUCUUCCAAGGACAGGAUAUCACUCUGAGGGAGAAACGAAUUUCUGCAGUUGGGCAUUGAUGAGCGUCUCCAGCGCCGACCUUCUCGUCAUGAACUGAGCCGUCUCCACCUUGAGGUCCUCCUCCAACUCCGAAAUGCGGGUCUCGACAUGUAACCUGUAGCGCAACACAAACACACAGCUUAUAUCUCUAUAAACAUCUCUAUAUGUUUCCGAUCUGCCCUUUAACACUUGAAUUACCUCCGGUCGAAAAGGAGGGCAAGAUCCUGCUCCAGUUUCUCUGACAGGAUUUUCUGAUGGGCCAACUGUCUGUUGGACUCACUUUUGCACAGUGAGUCUUUCAUCUGUAGCAGGUGUUCAACUGCUUUACGGUAUUCUGUGUUCCUG
ensembl:lncRNA